rnacentral:rRNA from 1 species
AUUGAACGCUGGCGGCAGGCCUAACACAUGCAAGUCGAACGGUAACAGGAAGAAGCUUGCUUCUUUGCUGACGAGUGGCGGACGGGUGAGUCAUGUCUGUGAAACUGCCUGAUGGAGGGGGAUAACUACUGGAAACGGUAGCUAAUACCGCAUAACGUCGCAAGACCAAAGAGGGGGACCUUCGGGCCUCUUGCCUUCGGAUUUGCCCAGAUGGGAUUAGCUAGUAGGUGGGGUAACGGCUCACCUAGUCGACGAUCCGUAGCUGGUCUGAGAGGAUGACCGGCCACACUGGAACUGAGACACGGUCCAGACUCCUACGGGAGGCAGCAGUGGGGAAUAUUGCACAAUGGGCGAAAGCCUGAUGCAGCCAUGCCGCGUGUGUGAAGAAGGCCUUCGGGUUGUAAAGUACUUUCAGCGGGGAGGAAGGGAGUAGAGUUAAUACCUUUGCUCAUUGACGUUACCCGCAGAAGAAGCACCGGCUAACUCCGUG